AGGAAAUGAUCGUGUGUAAACAAUCGUCAAUGAAGCAUAUUUCGAGCUCUGGCAAUUUGCAACAACGAUAAAAAAAGGCCAUGCUCUUUUGAUACCGAAAACAUACCUUACAGCUUCAUCACAUUCUUCCAUGUUGGGCAGCCGGCUUCAGCGAAGGGUGAGCAGAUUAUUAAGUGGAAACUCGGAAUAAAGAGAUCUAAGAUAAACAACUUGCUGCCAUGAUACAAGGUAAAAUUCUUCAUCACAUUGUAAAAAUUGAUUUUUUAACUUCAUCUAUGUAAGCCUGCAUACAAUGGGGGGGGGGGGUAGGGCUAUUUUUGCAUACCUGCAUGCCUAUAACAAGCUUAUUGAGCUAUCCGCUAGCCACAUUGAGUCACUAUCCAGCGGUUGGCUUAUAUGUGAAGGAUUGAUCCAAAUGUCCAAAUGGGGAGAGCACCAUGCCACUUGAGCAUAAGCUAAACCUGAUAUGAACUGCAAAUGUGCUAUUUUGCAACUUUUUAGUGGGUUAAUCUUAAAAUAUGACUAUCAACUUGUGCACUAAUUGUAUAGAAUUAGUGACUUAUCUGGCUGUCAUCCGAUUGGAAAUAGUGCAGUGUUCUUCAAGCUCAUAGUCAAAUAGACCUUAAAGCAUAUGAUGUCAUAAUCUCAAAGUGCCCUCUCUCAGAGGAUAUAGGAAUACACAUAUGGAGUUGUCAGAGAUGCGCUGGUUGGCGAUCACGAACACAUGCAAGGCAACAGCCUAUAACAAUGGCAGUAAAUUGCCAAUUCGUCUACUGCCAACCUUGCCCACUCACCACAUGGUCUACUUUCAUUUAAUAGUCUAAUUCCAUUCCGUCCAUCAACAUUUCGUCUAACAACCAUUUGGUCCAAUCAUCACUUCGCCUAAUCACCAUUUCGUCUAUGACCAUUUCUUCUCAUAACCAGUUGGUCUAAUAUCUUUCAUUUUCAUUCAUUUUGCAAUUAGACCAAAUGGUAUGGACUGAAUGGCUAUUACCAACUGGUUAUUAGACGAAAUGGUAAGUGGACGAAUUGGCAACAGACGAAUUGGAAAUAAACCACAAUGGCAGCGCGAUGUCUUCAAUGUAUAUUAGGUCUAGAGUAUUGAGGAUAGACCUGUUGAUAUGAGAAUGAUCAGUCGAGUUGGGGAUACUGUGUAUAAAGUCGUUUGGGAUAGAGCCUGGCGGGAUUUGCUGUUCAUAAAGUUAAGAGCGACUUUACGAACGACUUGCGAUCCUUUCUUGUGACAGGUGAUGCACACCAUGUUGAUUUAGUUACUAAGAAAGGAUCACCAGUCUUUUUUAAAGUCGAUUGUAACUUACGAAAAGCUUUAUGAAACACCCACCAGGAAGAAACCUCAAUGAAGAGGGAGGGAAAGACAGAGAAAGAGAGAGAGAGGGAAAAGAGGAUUGGAGGAUGUGAGUAGGGCAAGGAGAGGGAGUGGUACUGGAGUGGAUAUGAGAGAGAUCAAGAAGGAAAGGGAAAAGGGAUGGGUUGGGACUUGUACUGAUAGCUAUUAUCUGAUUCUGUUGACGAUUUCCUAAAUGUAACUAUAUUAGGUGGAAAAUCAUCCUUUAUUCUAAAUCCUCGGGAUGCCUAACCCCUCAAAAAGCAUUUAAAGUCAUAGGGAUUAACAUUCUCAGACAAGUUAUAUUUAGGGAAUAUUUCAGUCUCCAUCAGCCAAGAAUUCGAAUGUGUAUGGUAGUCCAGUGCCGGCCACCGCACAAUAACGAUGUUAGCCUAACUGUGCGCUAACAGUAAGCCCAGUCACAUCUUUCGGAUUGUGAAGUCGAAACAUUUAUUUCAAUGUGUAUUAGUAUAAAGGCAUUAUUACAUGUAGGUGUCACUGCCACAUUACUGGUUGUAUACGUGCCUCUGUUAGCGCAUUGUUAGCGCUAAAUAGACCCUCUGUAUCUGUGCUACAGUACAUUAUGGGCUGGUAGGUUGAUAUCAAGCUUGGAGUAUCAGCUUGAGAUUUGGAUCGAGUGCUUGCAUUUUGGACACAUGCUUUGAAUAACUUGUGAUGUUCUAAUACAAUAAUUGUAUCAUGAUUGAAUUAAAAAGUAGUCAAAAUCAAGUACGCCUAUUAUGUACAGGCCUUUUCCUGAGAGUGUAACAAAAACUCAAGUUGACUUGGACUGUAAAUAUGAAUUUUAGUUGUUUUUAUUUUGUUAUUCAUUUAUUACAUACAUGUAGUUCAUGAACUAAUUUGUUUAAUUGUUUGUUUAUUUAUUCAUUUUUUUCAGGGGGGGGGGGGGCUUUUUUCUCGAUCUAGUGCCUGAAUCUGCAACAUUGGAUUAGCUUUAACAUUGAGGUGAAUAGGCAUUUUCUGUGGCUCUGUUUUUCCAGGGAUCUUCUUAGUAUUUCCGGGGGGGGGGGGGGGAUUGCCCCGAGCCCCUGUAUAUUCCCCCGAGCCCCUGUAUAUUCCCCCUGCUGCACAUGUAAUCUUUGAGAUGAAAUAGCCCACUAUGAGCCGAACAUUUGAUAUGAUCGGUUUAGUUUCAUAGGUGCGUAAUCAGAAUCAGCAGGCUAUUCUGGUAUCACGGGCUAAUGGAUACAGGCCUUACGACAGUGAUAAUGAUGGAUGCAGACAGGAGGAUUGGAUGAGGAUUCUGAAUUCUAAUGGUCACUAUAAAGUUAAUUGAACAAGGGCAUACAUGUAGCAAGGAUUGCUAUGCUCAAGCCUGUCAAAUCCUUUACGAAGGCCUACAACCCUACAUAUGUGUAUGUAUGUAGGCCUUUCAUAAACAUUAUGGCCCGUAUUCUGAUAGCAGGUUUAACUUAAACUCAGGUUUAAAGUUGUGGUUUAAGUAUGGAAAGCCAAAAGUAUCAAAAUUUUUAUUAAGUUGUAUGUUUCUUAUGUUUAAUUUGCUCUUUCCUGAUUCAUCGAUGGUGAAGACAAUCAUCUAUUUAUACUUCCUAGACAAUUAUGAAUGAUUUGAGAGCCAAAUGAGCUGAAGUAUGAUAUCUCUACUGUUAGUGAUUUAUGUAACAAUUGGCUGUCCAUACUUAAACCACAACUUUAAACCUGAGUUUAAGUCAAACCUGCCAUCAGAAUACGGGCCACUGGCUUUAGCAGAAAUAUUCCUCAGACCUUUACCCAACUUUUUUCAGGGAGCAUUUUAAUUCUCAAAUGUGACAGGUAGUUUUGGUCAUUUGGAAAAAUUCCAACAAAAUUGUGUACAGUCAGUCCUACAUAAAAUUGUGCUGAUCAAACGAUAUUUGUGUCUUAGACUUGUAGAGAAAAAGCAUUGUAAAUCUUGAUGCAAAAUUGUUACCAAGUUUUUAUAUUAAUUUGUCAUGUUAUCAAAAUACAUUAAGGAAAUUCCACAAAUAAAAUUAAGUCCAUGAGGUACAGAGAUUAUUGAUCCUUGUGGAGCGUGAAAUGAUACAUGCGCAGAUCAGGGUUCACUCAACCGUAACUGGAAAUUCCUAUGUGAAAAAUUGCUUCAUUUCAUAUUGUCUAAUUACUAUACUAUUUCAUAAACAGCGCAGGAAUCUAAUCUUCUCUUAUAAUGACAUUAUUAAUUUAUGUUUUAUUUAUUUUUCUUUUGGGGGUGGGUUUUGAGGCAGAAAAUGUUAGAU